UCCNGAAUGGUGGCUUUAGAUAUAUGGAC
rnacentral:piRNA from 1 species